rnacentral:rRNA from 1 species
GACGAACGCUGGCGGCGUGCUUAACACAUGCAAGUCGAACGGGAAGGCCCUGCUUUUGUGGGUUUCUCGAGUGGCGAACGGGUGAGUAACACGUGAGUAACCUGCCCUUGACUUUGGUAUAACUUCGGGAAACUGGGGCUAAUACCUGAUAUGAGCUCCUUCUGCAUGGUGGGGGUUGGAAAGUUUCGGCGUUUGGGGAUGGAAUCGGGGCUUGUCAGCUUGUUGGUGGGGUAGUGGCUUACCAAGGCUGUGACGGGUAGCCGGCCUGAGUGGGUGACGGGACUCAGUGGGACUGAGAUCACGCACGGAAUCCUGCGGGAGGCAGCAGUGGGGAAUAUUGCACAAUGGGAUGCAGCCUGAUGCAGCAACGCCGCGUGCGGGAUGACGGCCUUCGGUUUGUAACCCGCUUCAGCGCGUGACGAAGCGUGAGUGACGGUAAUGGGUAAAGAAGCACCGGCUAACUACGUG